UACGGGGGGGGGUAAGCGUUGUUCGGAAUUACUGGGCGUAAAGGGCUCGUAGGCGGCCAACUAAGUCAGACGUGAAAUCCCUCAGCUUAACUGGGGAACUGCGUCUGAUACUGGAUGGCUUGGAUUCGGGAGAGGAAUGCGGAAUUCCAGGUGUAGCGGUGAAAUUCGUAGAUAUUCGGAGGAACACCAGUGGCGAAGGCGGCUCACUGGUCCAUUACUGACGCUGAGGUGCGAAAGCGUGGGGAGCAAACAGG
rnacentral:rRNA from 1 species